rnacentral:lncRNA from 1 species
AUGCACUCAAGCUUGGUAAACAAGAAGACCAUCGGCACAGCUCCACGGCCUGUUUACCCAUGGAAGAUGACUGGCUUCUUGGCUGAAAGGGGCCCAUGGCUGCUGUCCCUAAUGGAGUCCCAGGCUCUUCGGAGGACAGAGGUUAAACUGAGUCUUCCUAAAGCUGUGCCAUACGAAAAAUGAAUAAUAUUCAACAUCUCUUUUAAACUGGAUUCAUGGAAAUACUGGGAGAAGUGUAAAUAUUUAAAAACAACCUCCAGUCAAGUAUUACUCAGAGUAACACCUGCAAGUCAGAAAAAAAUACUUACGCUGACUUAUUCAAAGCUAUAAGCUGGCUUUUGAAUUUACGAAUGGUCCUUCUUCGAUCGCAACUGAUCCCGAUUAGGUUUUCCUUAUGCCUUUAUACCCUGACUGUUAAAGACAGAAAUGCUGAUCAGAUUUGAAAAAUAAAAACCAAAAAAAGCUCAUUUUGCCCAAUAUUACUUGGUCUGAAUCCCUCUCACCGAAC